rnacentral:tRNA from 1 species
GGGCCGGUAGCUCAGCCUGGUAGAGCGGCGGGCUUUUAACCCGUAGGUCCCGGGUUCAAAUCCCGGCCGGCCCGCCA